UACGUAGGGGACGAGCGUUGUCCGGAAUUACUGGGCGUAAAGGGCGCGCAGGCUGUGCUGCAAGUCAGCUGUGAAAUGUCUGGGCUUAACCCGGGCAUGCGGUUGAGACUGCAGUGCUGGAGUGCUGUAGAGGCAAGUGGGAUUCCCAGUGUAGCGGUGAAAUGCGUAGAUAUUGGGAAGAACACCGGUGGCGAAGGCGACUUGCUGGGCAGCAACUGACGCUGAGGCGCGAAAGCCAGGGGAGCAAACGGGA
rnacentral:rRNA from 1 species